AGAGUUUGAUCAUGGCUCAGAACGAACGUUAGCGGCGCGCCUAACACAUGCAAGUCGAACGCGACAGGGGCAACUCUGUUGAGUGGCGCACGGGUGAGUAACACGUAGGUAAUCUCCCCUCGAGUGGUGGAUAACCUUCCGAAAGGAGGGCUAAUACAGCAUAAGACCACGGUCUCGAAAGAGGCUGAGGUCAAAGCGGAGGAUCGCAAGACUUCGCGCUUGAGGAUGAGCCUGCGGCCCAUCAGGUAUGGCGGGGUAAUGGCCCACCAAGCCUAAGACGGGUAGCUGGUCUGAGAGGAUGAUCAGCCACACUGGAACUGAGACACGGUCCAGACUCCUACGGGAGGCAGCAGUGGGGAAUCUUGCGCAAUGGACGAAAGUCUGACGCAGCGACGCCGCGUGGGUGAUGAAGGCCUUCGGGUUGUAAAGCCCUGUGGGGAGGGACGAAUAAGUUGCAGCUAAUACCUGCAGCGAUGACGGUACCUCCUUAGCAAGCACCGGCUAACUCUGUGCCAGCAGCCGCGGUAAGACAGAGGGUGCAAACGUUGUUCGGAAUUACUGGGCGUAAAGCGCGUGUAGGCGGCUAUGCAAGUCGGAUGUGAAAGCCCUCGGCUCAACCGGGGAAGUGCACCCGAAACUGCAAAGCUAGAGUCUCGGAGAGGAUCGUGGAAUUCUCGGUGUAGAGGUGAAAUUCGUAGAUAUCGAGAGGAACACCGGUGGCGAAGGCGGCGAUCUGGACGAUGACUGACGCUGAGACGCGAAAGCGUGGGGAGCAAACAGGAUUAGAUACCCNNGUAGUCC
rnacentral:rRNA from 1 species